AGGAGAUAGAUGGGAACCGUUUCUUCCCCACGAAACGAAUCGGGCGCUGUUUCCAAGUCGAAGAAACGCUGACGAAACGCGCACCGAGGCCAGCGACGGUUUCAUGGUGGAUCCCGUGCUCCCUCCCCCCGCACUCCCUCCUCCCGCGCUCCCGCUCCCAGCUUGCGCGCCAAAUCCAUCCCAGCUCACGCCAAAUCCACCGCCGCCCCUGCCCUUCAUCUUCCUCUCCUCCCAGAGCCGCCACCGCCCCUGCAGUUCGUUUCCUCCCAAGCCGCCGCGGCCCCUGCCCUCCCAGAUCCGCCGCAUCCCGUGCCAUCUGGGCGGGCGAGAUGUCCCGCAAGGGGGAGCUGCCCGGCGGCGGCACGGCAAUAUGCGGCGGCGGCGGCGGCCCCGUGGAGGUGGCACCGAGAAGGGCCGCAGUGGUGGCUUGGUGAAGGUCCGCGGCGCCAGCACAACGACAGGCGACGGCGGCGGCGGCGGCGGCGACACUUCGCCGGCUGCAGCUCCUCCGCCGGCUGCUGCUCCUCUGCCUGCUGCAUCUUCUCCGGCGGCACCUCCCCCAUGUUGGCCCGGAUAUGCAGCUUCACCGACGCCGCCCCCAAAUUGGCCUGGAUUUGCAGCUUCUACGGCGGCGCCCCCAAAUUCUUCCCCACAUGGAAACCAGUGCUCAAAUCCAUGGGGUGGUUAUUUGAAUAUGUUAAAGCAACCAUAUUUUCCACCUUUGCAACCUUUUGGUGAAAAUUCCCAUUAUGUUGGAGCUACAAACACCUUCCAGCCACCAUCGCCUGCACCUGAACCAUAUCCCAAUGAAAGGGCCAGCAUUGACCUUGAUGAAGAAGAUGGUGUUGAGGCAAGUAGGUCAGUAAAGAAAAGAUAUUGGUCACAUGAAGAGGAAGUGAAACUGGCAAGUGCUUGGUUGAAUACUUCUAAAGACCCUAUUCAUGGAAAUGAAAAGAAAAGUGAUUCAUUUUGGAGUAAAAUCACUAAGGAGUUUAACCAGAACAAGCAACGAGAAUAUCAUAGAGACACCAACAGCCUGAAGAUCCAUUGGACACGCCUAAGCAAAAUGAUAAAUGAUUCAAUGGUUAUUGGAUUUCAGUUUGUAAAAUGAAUAAGAGUGGAUACUCCGACGACCAACUGAUGGAUGAAGCACAAAAGAGGUAUGAGAAAAAGAAUGAAAAACCUUUCACAUUGAUCCACUGGUGGAAGAUUCUAAAAGAUGAACCGAAAUGGUGCACAUUUGUUGCUCAAUCAGAGAAAGAUAAAAGCAAAAAAAGCAGCCAAGCCAUAGAUGGUGAUGACAUAGCUGAACAACGUCCUAUUGGGAGGGAAUCAGCCAAGCAAGAACGCAGAGGGAAGAGGAAGGUAGAUCAGGUUAUGGACGGUAUUGAAAUCCUUGGAGAAAAUAUAAAUAAAAUUGUUGAAGUUACGCAAGAGCGUAAGAAGGAACGUGAACAAAUGACAGAGGCACAACUUGAGAUCUCUACGAUGAAUUUGCAGACUGCAAAAGAGCAUAAGGAAGCAAAGUUACUCGAAGCUUAUACUUCUUUGCUGGCUCGGGAUACAAGUCAGAUGUCGGCCGAAGAGAAGAUUAGCCAUGGCAAGACAUUGCUCAAGAUGGAGAAGAUGAUUUUUCAAAAUGAUUGAGGAGCAUCUGUGCAAGGAUAUCAAUUGGGAGGCUUGUGCUUUUGGUCAGUUAUUUUGGAAGGCUGCAAUAUAGUGGAAAUUAAGUAUUAUUUUUCAGUUAUUUUGGUGUGAAACUGCUCCAUUAGGAAUGUGAACUGUUGCUUUCAGACUGAAGCUCCUUUCGGCUUCAUCUUUAUUAUGUGAAUGUGAACUGGUAGUCCUUUCUUUAUUAUAUGAAUGUGAACUGGUACUCCUUUCACCUAUAUAUACAUCCAGUACUAGUCCAUCUCGGCAGCAUCUCCUUUCUAGAGCACCAUCUUUUCUCCUUUCUCCUGUAAUAGUCGCCACCAUCUUUUCCCUCUUGUACAAAGGAGGUGCUCAUCGAGGACAGGCUACUGACUUUGCAGGUGAGUGCCACUGUCUCGCAGAGUUGGGUGAACUUUUUUCAAAGAGAAGGCAGAGGGUGUUGGUUAUUGUUUUGGCAUGUGCUUCCCACUGUCGAGCUUUCACAAAUUGCUAUGUGCCCACUGAAUUUGAUAUGCAUGUAAAUGCAGAUUGUGCCCACUGAAUUUUCCUUGAGCCCUUCUAAUGUCUUACGCCAUCUGGUAAUGAUUAAAUUGAACAUAUGAUUGUUUUUAAGAUGUAUUUUACCAUCAAACAGGUUCUCGUAUCCACAAAAAUGUCGGACCAAAAUUCAGCAAGCAACACUGUCAAUUUGUUGGAUGUGUUCAUUGCAGAAGAUGAACUCCUAGAUGACUUAAUCAGUGAAACAAUGGUGGUCCUGAAGGCAAGCGUAGAGGCUCUUUCUCAAGAGGCAUCUGAUCAUUGAUUUCUCCAAGGAACUAUAUCAAAAGGCCGCGAGAGGAGUAUCAUCAGCGUCUUGUGGAUUAUUAUUUCUCAGAAAAUCCUCUUUAUCCGCUCAAUAUUUUUCGCCGAAGAUUUCGUAUGCGUAGGCCAUUAUUCCUACGCAUUGUUGAUGAAUUAGGCAAGUGGUCUGACUACUUCACUACAAGGGUGGAUGCUCUAGGUCAGCAAGGACUCACACCACUACAAAAGUGUACCGCAGCUAUUCGCCAAUUAGCUAAUGGCAGUGCGGCGGAUCAUCUAGAUGAGUCUCUAAAAAUUGGCGAGACAACUUCACUAGAGGCAAUGAAGUAUUUUGUCGAGGGUGUUAUAGCUGUAUUUAGUGGACGAUAUUUGAGACGACCCACUAUGGCAGAUGCUGAGCGUCUGCUCAAAAUUGGUGAGAGAGAGGUUUUCCUGGUAUGUUCGGCAGUAUUGACUGUAUGCAUUGGCAGUGGGAGAGAUGUCCAACUGCAUGGAAGGGCCAAUUUACUCGGGGUGAUCAGAAAGUCCCGAUGAUAAUUCUUGAGGCUGUGGCUUCUCAUGAUCUUUGGAUCUGGCAUGCAUUCUUUGGGGUUGCAGGUUCUAAUAAUGAUAUCAAUGUCCUAAACCAGUCUCAUCUAUUUAUCGAAGAACUAAAAGGGCAAGCUCCAAGGGUCCAAUACAUGGUGAAUGGAAACCAAUAUAACACAGGUUAUUAUCUUGCGGAUGGGAUAUACCCGGAAUGGGCUGUUUUUGUGAAGUCCAUAUCCUUGCCCAUUUCCGACAAGGACAAGCUGUUUGCACAGGAAAAAGAAGGGAAGAGAAAGGAUAUUGAACGAGCAUUUGGAGUAUUGCGUCGACGAUGGAGCGUCUUGAAAAAACCAGCUCGCCUAUACGAUCGUGGUCAACUUGAGAGAGUGGUGCUAGCUUGCAUCAUCCUUCACAAUAUGAUUGUUGAAGAUGGAAAAAAAGAAGAGGACAUUGAAGAGAAUCUUGAUCUAAAUGAGGCUCCUAGUACAGUGACUGUGCAAGAACCAGAAUUCUCCCCCGAAGAUUAUGUUCCAUUUGAAAGAGUGCUAGAAAAAGAAGGUGAUAUUCGAGAUCGUUCGGCUCAUAUACAACUUAAGAAGGACUUGGUGGAGCACAUUUGGAACAAGCACGGUCGUCGUCUAUCUACAAAUUGA